UCGCAGUCGCAGCACACCAAAUUUCUUUUUUAAUUAAACGUGAUUUAAUUACAAGAUUUUUUUGAUUACAUAUUCAAUACUGAUGAAAAUAUAUUUUUUUAAAUCGGUAAUAGUACUAUUGGAAUAUAUCGAGUCACUUGCUUUCGCUGAUUUUGGAUUCGGUAAAUCCGAUAGAUCGGCGGUGAUGGAAUAUAGUGUUCAUGGUCGUGUUUGGUGAUUUCGCUAAAUAUUUAUCGCGUGUGCAAUUUUCGAAAUUUAAUGUUUUGUGUGUUUUUUUUUACAUUUUGCGUGAAUUCGUGAUCGCUUGCCGUCGGACGUCGGCCGGUCUUGUUGUGUGAUUGUAAAUAAUAUUGCAGUUAAUUUCGGUCUUGUGCGAACUAUUUUUGCCUUCAGCAAAACUCGUCGUGUCAAUGUGUAGCCUGUAUUUGCUGUGCCUAGGAGUCCGAUGUGUUCUGAAUUGAAAUUUUGCACCUGAGUCUGACAUCGUAGAAGGACCAUUCUGGUAUCAGAUUGAAUUUUGCACCUGAGUCUGACAUCGUAGAAGGACCUUUCUGAUAACAGAUUGGAUUUUGCACCUGAGUCUGACAUCGUAGAAGGACCAUUCUGGUAUCAGAUUGGAUUUUGCACCUUAGUCUGACAUCGUAGAAGGACCAUUUUUGCAUCAGAUUGGAUUUUGCACUUGAGUCUGACAUCGUAGAAGGACCAUUCUUGGAUCAGAUUGGAUUUUGCACCUGAGUCUGACAUCGUAGAAGGACCAUUCUGGUAUCAGAUUGUAUUUUACACCUGAGUCUGACAUCGUAGAAGGACCAUUCUUGCAUCAGAUUGUUAUUAUUAAAUUUCAUUAUCUUUAAUAACUUUUGUGAUUAUUACCCAAAUUGACUCCCAAAAUGUAUGUAUGCUUGUGUGUUUUCUUUAAUAAAGAAUAUUUUUAAGUUUUUCUAAUUAAAA